AUUCAAAUAGUUUAUUAAAAAUAUUGAUUUGUGGAGUCAAAGAUAUAAAAGUUAUUUUGGAUA
rnacentral:tRNA from 1 species